CUGAUGACUAUCACCAUGUCCUGUGCAAUAUCUGAUAGAAAUGUGACUUACAGUUAGUGCUGUGCUAGUACAUGCUUAACAAUAAUCUCUUUGGGGAGACAAAAUCUAUGACUUACAGAAUUUUCUGAUUUUCAUAAAAUACUCCCACCAUGUCUGACAAGACAUUCCUGAAUAUGGAAUUGGAUGAGACGUAUGGUACCACGGAAUUCUACAGUAUUGCUACCAUGCAGAUACAAUAGGCAUGAAUCAGCUCAAAAGAAGAGGGCCCAAGUGUGCAGCACCUCUACCUGGAAUGUGAUGCUCAGGCAGUGAGAGGCAACAACACAGAGAGCUGGUCAGAAUCAAGGCUCCAUGAAGCCUCAUCUCAGACUUGUUGCAGUGUCACUUCCAUCCCUUGUCCAUUGGCAAAAAAACAGGUGAGUGGUGAAGCCCAACAGCAGUGAGAUGGGGAAAUAUGAUUUUCCCAAGCAGGGGAAAAGGGAGAAGAGAAUGAAUACUUGUUGAACAAUAAUGCAAUCGACCUCCAUCUGCC
rnacentral:lncRNA from 13 species